GCUUCUCUUGUGAGGGCUGUGGGAGGUGGUACCUUAGGCAGAGGCCAGAGUUCCAGGAGCAUGAGGGAACACCUACCGUGUCAUGUAUGUGAAUUGUGACCAUCGGGGUUAAGACCUCAGCUCGACUGGAGACCAGCCUGAAAUUCCCCACAAUGGAUGACCACUUUCAACUAAUUCUGAAUUUGGAAAUAUAAGUUUUAUGUUACUAUGUUGAAAAUAUUUUACAUAAACAUCUUAAAAGAGGGAAGUUUUAUUUCAGCUCACAAUUUAAAGCAUUCACUAAAACAUAAGAAGAAGGUCUUGGUAGAACGGCUCAGAUCAUGAUGGUAAUCAUUUACUGGCGGCAUUAUCAUAGCUACCACACAGAAAAUUAAAGGGAAUAAGUGACUCCAGUGCACACACAGAGUCAAGAAAUGAAAAGCAUCAUCUAUUUCUCCCAAAGUCGCAAGAUUCUAAGGGACAAUUGUUAAUUAGAAAGAAAAAAAUCAAACAUUUUCCUCACUUUUCUCCCAUGUCAAUCACCUUUCUGUUACUAUGAUAAACAUCUGAGAUAAUCACGUCAUAGGAAAUUUUAUGUUGGAUCAAGGUUUAGAGAUACUUCUCCACAGUCACUUGGCCUUACUUCUUUGUGUUUCUGAUAGGGCAAUCAUGAGAGAAAGCAUGUAGUGAAAGUAGCCUGUACCCCUUAUGGUGUUUGGAAAGUACAAGGGGUGAGGAAAAGAGAGCUAUUGAAGCUGUGGUCCUGGUGUCACGGGCAUAUAUCCAGAAGAUGUUCCAACCGGAUUAAAUUACAGUAGGAAGACAAAUAAGGAAACAAAUACUGACUGUCAAAAGCUGUCCUCUCUCUGGAAAAUAUCAUAGACAUUUCAGAGGAAUGGAGGAAGGUCUUGGCUCAUGGAGGCCUGCUUUUGUCAGAAAAGAGGAAGUGUGGGGAUCUGGAAGGAGAGGAUCGGGGGUGUCUGAGUUUGGGUUUUACAUCUGUGAAGAGACAACAUAUCCAAGGCAAAUCUUAUAAAGGACAACAUUAUACAGUAGAGGACUUCCAGGAAAGAUCUACAUUCUAAACUUUCCCAAAUAGUAUCACCAGCUGUGCGGACCAAAUGUUCAAAUGUAGGAGCCCAUGGAAGACUCAUUUAAACCACAACAGCUGGCUCUGAAGAAGAAGAAAAAAAAAAACUAAACUAGAAGUGGACACAUGUUCAACAAAACAUCAGUUAAAAAGAUCAACCACCUAGUGCAAAAGUAACAGGAUGGAAUGACAUGGGAAAAGCAAAAGUUGAGCGACCAAGAGGUGAAAGGGUGACUUGUUCAAGCAUCCUCAAGUAGAAGCAUUGAAUACAAAAAAUCAAGAGAAAUUUUGGAAAUUGAAUACACAGAGCAGAAUGGCUCAUUCGAUGCAUCAUGGUCAAGGCAACUCAUAGAAGACAGAGUUUACUUUGUGCAUAUCAUUUCAGCAUCAUCGAAUCCAUGACCUACUGUUCUAUCAGGAGCAUAGAUGGCAUCAGGAAGGCAGACAUGGAGCUGGAACAGUACCUAUGAGUUCACAUCUUGAGAACAUGGCAGAGACAAAUAACUUUUGGAAAAAUUCAGUGUUUAGUUUUUAAAGGAUUAAUUCUGGUACCCACAGAAGUCAGAGGAGGUCGUUAGAUCCUUUGGAACUCGAGUUAUGGAUGGUUGUGAGCUACCAAGGGAGUACUUGGAAUCAAAACCCGGUCCUCUGCAAGAGCAGAAUGUGCUCCUGACUUCUGAGACAUCUCUCCAAUCCAUCAGGGAUGCUCCGGUGGAGGCAACACGUCCUCCUGAUACACAGGCUGAAACCAAUAGGCCCAAGGAGCCAUGAAUUGAAAACAUGAGUCGCCCCACAAAUGGAUCAUUUGACCUCAAAGGGGUCACAGCUCACAUACUGAGAACCAGCACUUUAAGGCUUUCUUGAAGUCUUCUAAACAAUACUAGUUUCCAGAACAACCUGAAGUGCAAACAUAUUAAAGGUCUUUUGUUAAAUUUUCUAUCAAUAUU
rnacentral:lncRNA from 1 species